UACGGAGGGUGCACGCGUUGUUCGGAAUCACUGGGCGUAAAGGGCGUGUAGGCGGUCCGCUAAGUCUGAUGUGAAAGCCCGAGGCUUACCCUCGGAAGUGCAUUGGAGACUGGCGGACUGGAGUCCCGGAGAGGAGGGUGGAAUUCCUGGUGUAGCGGUGAAAUGCGUAGAUAUCAGGAGGAACACCGGUGGCGAAGGCGGCCCUCUGGACGGUGACUGACGCUGAGACGCGAAAGCGUGGGGAGCAAACAGG
rnacentral:rRNA from 1 species